rnacentral:rRNA from 1 species
UACGAAGGGGGCGAGCGUUGUUCGGAAUUACUGGGCGUAAAGGGCGCGCAGGCGGUCCUUCAAGUCAGAUGUGAAAGCCCCGGGCUCAACCUGGGAACUGCAUUUGAGACUGGAGGACUUGAGGACGGGAGAGGAGAGUGGAAUUCCCAGUGUAGAGGUGAAAUUCGUAGAUAUUAGGAAGAACACCAGUGGCGAAGGCGGCUCACUGGCCCGGUACUGACGCUGAGGCGCGAAAGCGUGGGGAGCAAACAGG